AUUGAACGCUGGCGGCAGGCCUAACACAUGCAAGUCGAGCGGAUGAAGGGAGCUUGCUCCUGGAUUCAGCGGCGGACGGGCGAGUAAUGCCUAGGAAUCUGCCCGGCAGUGGGGGCUAACGUCCGGAAACGGGCGCUAAUACCGCAUACGUCCUGAGGGAGAAAGUGGGGGAUCUUCGGACCUCACGCUAUCAGAUGAGCCUAGGUCGGAUUAGCUAGUUGGUGGGGUAAAGGCAUACCAAGGCGACGAUCCGUAACUGGUCUGAGAGGCUGAUCAGUCACACUGGAACUGAGACACGGUCCAGACUCCUACGGGAGGCAGCAGUAGGGAAUAUUGGACAAUGGGCGAAAGCCUGAUCCAGCCAUGCCGCGUGUGUGAAGAAGGUCUUCGGAUUGUAAAGCACUUUAAGUUGGGAGGAAGGACAGUAAGUUAAUACCUGGCUGUUUUGACGUUACCAACAGAAUAAGCACCGGCUAACUUCGUG
rnacentral:rRNA from 1 species